rnacentral:rRNA from 1 species
GACGAACGCUGGCGGCGUGCCUAAUACAUGCAAGUAGAACGCUGAAGACUUUUAGCUUGCUAAAAGUUGGAAGAGUUGCGAACGGGUGAGUAACGCGUAGGUAACCUGCCUACUAGCGGGGGGAUAACUAUUGGAAACGAUAGCUAAUACCGCAUAACAGCAUUUAACCCAUGUUAGAUGCUUGAAAGGAGCAAUUGCUUCACUAGUAGAUGGACCUGCGUUGUAUUAGCUAGUAGGUGGGGUAACGGCUCACCUAGGCGACGAUCCCUAGCUGGUCUGAGAGGAUGACCAGCCACACUGGAACUGAGACACGGUCCAG